rnacentral:rRNA from 1 species
ACGAACGCUGGCGGCAUGCCUAAUACAUGCCAGUCGAACGAGAUCUUCGGAUCUAGUGGCGCACGGGUGCGUAACGCGUGGGAAUCUGCCCUUGGGUUCGGAAUAACUUCUGGAAACGGAAGCUAAUACCGGAUGAUGACGUAAGUCCAAAGAUUAUCGCCCAAGGAUGAGCCCGCGUAGGAUUAGCUAGUUGGUGGGGUAAAGGCCCACCAAGGCGACGAUCCUUAGCUGGUCUGAGAGGAUGAUCAGCCACACUGGGACUGAGACACGGCCCAGACUCCUACGGGAGGCAGCAGUAGGGAAUAUUGGACAAUGGGCGAAAGCCUGAUCCAGCAAUGCCGCGUGAGUGAUGAAGGCCUUAGGGUUGUAAAGCUCUUUUACCCGGGAUGAUAAUGACAGUACCGGGAGAAUAAGCUCCGGCUAACUCCGUG